rnacentral:piRNA from 1 species
UGCCUUGUUAUGACCACCUGUUUCAAGACC